UUUAAAUUGCUGUAGUAUUUUGACUAUACAAAGGUAUUGUAAUAAGGUUUUAAUUGAAUGCUAAAAGAAUGGAAUUACAGGGAAAAGUUUUUUUAAAUUUAAUAAUUGAAGUUAUUUUAAUUUGUGAAGAAACAAUUAUAUAAAUUAAAGACAAGAAGACCCUAAGAAUUUAAGAAUUUUUAUUAAUAUAUUAUAUGUAUAUAUAUAUAAAUAAAAUUCUUAGUUGGGGCAACUAAAAAAUAUAUUAAACUUUUUUUUUAAAAAAAUGACCCAUUAUUAAUGAUAAUAUGAAAAAAAUACUCUAGGGAUAACAGCGUAAUAAUUUUUGAUAGAUCUUAUAGACAAAAUAGAUUGCGACCUCGAUGUUG
rnacentral:rRNA from 1 species